rnacentral:misc_RNA from 1 species
GUGUUACAAUCACAUUAAAGUAUAUGCAUAGCAUUCAGUCAAUUGAGUUUGUUAAGAAACAUAGACAGAGCUUGAAUAAGACCCUGCCUACAGAAGGUGCACAGGGUGGAUAUUGGUUUUGUUAAGAGUGCACUACUGCCCCACAGGAGCCAGCACAUCUUUUUAAAAUCAAUAAUGAUCCUUCCGCAGGUUCACCUACGGAAA